rnacentral:rRNA from 1 species
AGCGUAGGUGGCCGUAACAGUGUACGAACUGUGAAAACCCGGAGCUCAACUCCGGACUUGCAGUUGAAACUGGUAGGCUUGAGGACGGUAGAGGAAGACGGAACUGCCAGUGUAGGGGUAAAAUCCUUAGAUAUUGGCAGGAACGCCGGUGACGAAGGUGGUUUUCUGGGCCGGUUCUGACACUGAUGCUCGAAAGCCAGGGGAGCGAACG